UAGGGAAUCUUGGACAAUGGGCGAAAGCCUGAUCCAGCCAUGCCGCGUGAGUGAUGAAGGCCUUAGGGUUGUAAAGCUCUUUCGCCAGGGAAGAUAAUGACGGUACCUGGAUAAGAAGCCCCGGCUAACUUCGUGCCAGCAGCCGCGGUAAUACGAAGGGGGCUAGCGUUGUUCGGAAUUACUGGGCGUAAAGCGCACGUAGGCGGCUUUCCAAGUUGGAGGUGAAAUCCCCGGGCUUAACCCGGGAACUGCCUCCAAAACUGAAAGGCUAGAGUCCGAGAGAGGUGAGUGGAAUUUCCAGUGUAGAGGUGAAAUUCGUAGAUAUUGGAAAGAACACCAGUGGCGAAGGCGGCUCACUGGCUCGGUACUGACGCUGAGGUGCGACAGCGCGGGGAGCAAGCA
rnacentral:rRNA from 1 species